rnacentral:lncRNA from 1 species
UGUGUGUGUGUGUGUGUGUGUGUGUGUGUGUGUGUGUGUGUGUGUGUGUGUGUGUGUGUGUGUGUGUGUGUGUGUGUGUGUGUGUGUGUGUGUGUGUGUGUGUGUGUGUGUGUGUGUGUGUGUGUGUGUGUGUGUGUGUGUGUGUGUGUGUGUGUGUGUGUGUGUGUGUGUGUGUGUGUGUGUGUGUGUGUGUGUGUGUGUGUGUGUGUGUGUGUGUGUGUGUGUGUGUGUGACCUCCAGGAUGACCAAGUGUCAGGGAGCUACUGUAACUGGGCAUCCCCCAGGCACUCAGUGAUUUCAGCCCUUUGUAUACAUGAGCCGUGACCCCGGGACCGGGUAUCAGCCCAUUCCUCACCCCAAGAGGCACGUAUCCUCCCCAGCCGAGGCCCCGUCGGUGGCCGGUCCUCCCUCCAGCCCCAAGAGGUCCAGCUGCUCCACAGGCUCUACAUCUUUCGCGGCUGGAGCCCGAGCAGCCAUCAGGGGCCUGGAUCCGGGCCCUGGAGCCCCUCAGGGAGGACAGCCGGCGGACGACACCGCAUCACCGGUGCCGGCCUGGACGUGAGGAUCAGCGGCUUGGACGAGAGCAUCCGCCGAGCUGGCAGGGGGAACGUCCCUUGGUCCCCUCUCCGAGACCUCUCCGGGUACAGACCUCACUUGAACAACUCCUCUGACAGGAGACCAUCUCUGGACCUGCCGGGGAAUCCAGCCCCGGGAGGAGGCGACGGCCUGCUCUGCUCUACAGAGGAGGAGACUGAGGCAACAUCAUCCUCCCAAGCCGGUGCCUGGGAAUCCAUGCUUGCCUGGGGGCAAAUACGAAACCUGCGAGCUCCCUCCACAUCUAGGAUGCCGUGGCUCUGAUGACACUGCCUGGUCACGUCCCCUGCGCCUGGCAAGCUGCGGUGACCCCCGACUCCUUACCUGACAUCCGAGCCCCGAGUGAACUGGGCCAGAUGCCCUCCCCAGGGUGUUCCCCUCCCCCUUCCUUAGUGUUUUCCUCCCCCAGGGAGCCCACCAUCCCUGCCCCUCGAGUCCCCUGGUACCACCGCCCCGCUCCAUGGCUCCCAUCCAGAACACCCUCAUCUCUAAGGCUGGCUUCAGAGGUCACCUCCUCGGGGUCCUGAGAAAGCCCACUGUUUGGGUCAGAACGACCCGGGCUCACACUCACAGCGGGGCCACGUCAAGUCCUGUGACACGCAAGCUCUAUGCCAGCUUCUGGGACCUCGGUGCUCUUUUUGAAGAUGGGGUCGGCGGCUCCCACGUCCGGUGGGUGUCUGGGGGAUGAAAGCAGGGAGGUGAAGGUGUCCGAAGUAGGGGAGCUUGUGGGGGGAGGGGGCUCUCGCGAAGGCAGGGGGAGGUGAUGGGGAGGAGGGAAAGGCAGCCUGACCUCUACCUGCCCAGACUGGUGUCCACCUCCCCCUCCCCCUGCUCAGCCAGGCGCCCGGAUGAACAGUAGAGUGGAGUGUGGGGGCCAGGUCAGCAGGGUGGGGGUCUGUCUCGUUUCCCUCUUGCCCCCGUGUCUCCAUACCCACUGCGUCCAGCCGCCCUGCCUGGGUGGAGUGGCCGUGGCCCCAGGCCUAAGAGGAUAUGAGGGUCACUGAGCGGGCGGUGGAGAUCGGAUAGGUGUGACCCGAGGUGUCAUGGACUCCUGCCGCGAGGUGGUCCCGUGUGCGCAGUCCCAUGGUCCCGGUGCACCUGCGCAGGCUCCACCUGCCUCGACCUUUGGUGGGAGCACCUCCCUGCCCCCAACGCUCCCCAGCCACAUCCUGCCCAAAGGUGGGAGCCAGGGGCCACUCUAGCCGGACUGGUGAAGCUCCUCCUCCAAGGGCUCAUGGAACAGUCGGGAAACUGAGGCCAGGAG